rnacentral:rRNA from 1 species
GGGAUAUUGCACAAUGGGGGAAACCCUGAUGCAGCGACGCCGCGUGAGUGAAGAAGUAUUUCGGUAUGUAAAGCUCUAUCGGCAGGGAAGAAAAAAAUGACAGUACCUGACUAAGAAGCCCCGGCUAACUACGUGCCAGCAGCCGCGGUAAUACGUAGGGGGCAAGCGUUAUCCGGAUUUACUGGGUGUAAAGGGAGCGUAGGCGGCCACGCAAGUCAGAAGUGAAAACCCGGGGCUCAACCCUGGGAGUGCUUUUGAAACUGUGCGGCUAGAGUGUCGGAGGGGUAAGUGGAAUUCCUAGUGUAGCGGUGAAAUGCGUAGAUAUUAGGAGGAACACCAGUGGCGAAGGCGGCUUACUGGACGAUGACUGACGCUGAGGCUCGAAAGCGUGGGGAGCAAA